rfam:Schizosaccharomyces pombe chromosome I, complete replicon
AGGGUAAACUGUCGUUCCUUAAUACUUUUGUUACUUAUGCACCGAAUUCGACUAUUUCGCAUUCAUUAGUGAUAGACGUGAAUCAACAAAUCCAAGGGGUGUAGAUAGUUUAUAAUUUAUCUUGUAACGCAGUUUGUUUAUCACAUAC